rnacentral:rRNA from 1 species
GCAAAACAGCUAGCCUAAUCCUAUAAAAUAAAUGACCAAACGUAAUUAACACAAUAAUAUUUAAAACUUAAAAUAAAACAUUCUACCCCCCAAGUAUAGGCGAUAGAAAAGGAAAACAGAGCAAUAGAAAAAGUACCGCAAGGGAAUGCUGAAAAAGAAGUGAAACAACCCGCAAGGCAAAAAAAAGCAGAGACUAA